ACAUCCCAGAAGUGGGGGUGGGGAGGACGCGUUGCCUUUAAGUAGGAGGUGGGCCAGGUGGCCCCGAGGGUGUCCUCGUUGCAAAGCCCGCUUCUUCUGACGGGGGUUCUCCAUUCAUCCACCAGCAUGAAUCCUACCCAGGAGGGGCGAAUUGUGAUUGUUGGCAGCGGACUCAUUGGGAGUAGCUGGGCUAUGGUUUUUGCAUCUGGUGGUUUUCAAGUAAAGCUUUAUGAUACUGUGGAAGAGCAGGUUACAAAAAGCUUGAAAAAAAUUGG